GGGGAGUACGUUCGCAAUAAUAAAACUCAAGAGAAUUGACUGGGGCCCGCACAAGCGGUGGAGCAUGUGAUUUAAUUCAAUGCAAAGUGAAAACCUUAUCAGGGCUUGACAUGCCGCGGAUCCACUUGAAAGAGAGGGGUGCCUUUGGGAAUGCAGACCCCGGUGGUGCAUGGUUGUCGUCAGCUCGUGCUGUAAGGUGUUGGGUUAAGUCACGCAAUGAGCGCAACCCUCGUGUUUAGUUGUCAUUGUUGAGUUUGGUACUUUGAGCAGAUUGUUGGUGAUAAGCCGGAGGAAGAUGAGGAUGACGUCAAGUCUUCAUGCCCCUUAUGCCCUGAAACACGUACUACAAUGACUGGGAUAGAGGGCCAAUAUCCCGCGAGGGUGAGCUAGCCCCAAAAAUCCGUCCUCAGUUCAGAUUGCAGACUGCAAUUCCCAUGAAGUCAGAAUCACUAGUAAUCGUAACCCAUUUUAUUCUCCAUUAAAUCACAUUGUUAGGUAAA
rnacentral:ncRNA from 1 species